rnacentral:lncRNA from 1 species
GCUUUUUUUUUUUUUUUUUUUUUUUUGUGAGGGAGCCUCGCUCUGUCUCCCAGGCUGGAGCUCAGUGGCGCCAUCUCUGCUCAUUGCAACCUCCGCCUCCCGGGUUCAAUUGAUUCUCCUGCCUCAGCCUCACUAGUAGCUGGGAUUACAGGCAUCUGCCACCACGCCCAGCUAAUUUUUUUUUUUUUUUUUUAGUAUAGAUGGGGUUUCCCCAUGUUGGCCAGGCUGGUCUCAAACUGCUGACCUCAGGUGAUCCGCCUGCUUCAGCCUCCCAAAGUGUUGGGAUUGCAGGCGUGAGCCACCACACCCGGCCUGGUGGUUUCAUUUUUUUUUUUUUUUUUUUUUUAGCAACUUUUGUACUCCAAGUGUUCUACCGUAAAUAAACUAUGGUCCCUGCCAUCAAGGAGCUAACAGUUUAGUUCGGAAAGGAGGUAACAUUUCACUUGUUUUUGAAAGAAGCCUAUGUAUUAACCAGACAAAAGGGUAAGGGGGCAAUACAUGUAAGGGUGCAAAUGCAUGAAAGGCCAUGGAUUUCUGUCACUACACACGCAUGCACACACACACACACGCACACACACACUACAUAUUAUACUGUCUUAACUAGGAGCAGCAGCAACAAUACCAUCUGUUGCAUUUACUACAUGCCAGGCACCAUGCCAAGCACUAGGGUAAGGGAUGUGCCUACCCGGGAGCGCUCUUUGGAUCAUGUCGCUCGGGUAGGCUGGAGUCCUCUGCAGGGAUGCUCCACAGGGCAGGCCUAAGCUGCCUAAGGGGCUGCCUCGGCUGUCCAUCAGUC